GAGUUUGAUCAUGGCUCAGAUUGAACGCUGGCGGCAGGCCUAACACAUGCAAGUCGAACGGUAACAGGAAGCAGCUUGCUGCUUUGCUGACGAGUGGCGGACGGGUGAGUAAUGUCUGGGAAACUGCCUGAUGGAGGGGGAUAACUACUGGAAACGGUAGCUAAUACCGCAUAACGUCGCAAGACCAAAGAGGGGGACCUUCGGGCCUCUUGCCAUCGGAUGUGCCCAGAUGGGAUUAGCUAGUAGGUGGGGUAAAGGCUCACCUAGGCGACGAUCCCUAGCUGGUCUGAGAGGAUGACCAGCCACACUGGAACUGAGACACGGUCCAGACUCCUACGGGAGGCAGCAGUGGGGAAUAUUGCACAAUGGGCGCAAGCCUGAUGUAGCCAUGCCGCGUGUAUGAAGAAGGCCUUCGGGUUGUAAAGUACUUUCAGCGGGGAGGAAGGGAGUAAAGUUAAUACCUUUGCUCAUUGACGUUACCCGCAGAAGAAGCACCGGCUAACUCCGUGCCAGCAGCCGCGGUAAUACGGAGGGUGCAAGCGUUAAUCGGAAUUACUGGGCGUAAAGCGCACGCAGGCGGUUUGUUAAGUCAGAUGUGAAAUCCCCGGGCUCAACCUGGGAACUGCAUCUGAUACUGGCAAGCUUGAGUCUCGUAGAGGGGGGUAGAAUUCCAGGUGUAGCGGUGAAAUGCGUAGAGAUCUGGAGGAAUACCGGUGGCGAAGGCGGCCCCCUGGACGAAGACUGACGCUCAGGUGCGAAAGCGUGGGGAGCAAACAGGAUUAGAUACCCUGGUAGUCCACGCCGUAAACGAUGUCGACUUGGAGGUUGUGCCCUUGAGGCGUGGCUUCCGGAGCUAACGCGUUAAGUCGACCGCCUGGGGAGUACGGCCGCAAGGUUAAAACUCAAAUGAAUUGACGGGGGCCCGCACAAGCGGUGGAGCAUGUGGUUUAAUUCGAUGCAACGCGAAGAACCUUACCUGGUCUUGACAUCCACGGAAGUUUUCAGAGAUGAGAAUGUGCCUUCGGGAACCGUGAGACAGGUGCUGCAUGGCUGUCGUCAGCUCGUGUUGUGAAAUGUUGGGUUAAGUCCCGCAACGAGCGCAACCCUUAUCCUUUGUUGCCAGCGGUCCGGCCGGGAACUCAAAGGAGACUGCCAGUGAUAAACUGGAGGAAGGUGGGGAUGACGUCAAGUCAUCAUGGCCCUUACGACCAGGGCUACACACGUGCUACAAUGGCGCAUACAAAGAGAAGCGACCUCGCGAGAGCAAGCGGACCUCAUAAAGUGCGUCGUAGUCCGGAUUGGAGUCUGCAACUCGACUCCAUGAAGUCGGAAUCGCUAGUAAUCGUGGAUCAGAAUGCCACGGUGAAUACGUUCCCGGGCCUUGUACACACCGCCCGUCACACCAUGGGAGUGGGUUGCAAAAGAAGUAGGUAGCUUAACCUUCGGGAGGGCGCUUACCACUUUGUGAUUCAUGACUGGGGUGAAGUCGUAACAAGGUAACCGUAGGGGA
rnacentral:rRNA from 1 species